rnacentral:rRNA from 1 species
AGAGUUUGAUCCUGGCUCAGAGCGAACGCUGGCGGCGUGCUUAACACAUGCAAGUCGAACGGGUGUAGCAAUACAUCCGUGGCGAACGGGUGCGUAACACGUGGAUAACCUUCCUUGAGGUGGGGAAUAACCCAGUGAAAAUUGGGCUAAUACCGCAUAACAUCGCGCUGGCACAUGCUGAUGCGAUCAAAGGCGCAAGU